UACGGAGGGUGCGAGCGUUGUCCGGAAUCACUGGGCGUAAAGGGCGCGUAGGCGGCGCGGGAAGUCCGUGGUGAAAGCCCGAGGCUCAACUUCGGGUCGGCCAUGGAUACUCCUGGGCUCGAGCACUGUAGAGGCAGGUGGAAUUCCGGGUGUAGCGGUGGAAUGCGUAGAUAUCAGGAGGAACACCAAUGGCGAAGGCAGCUCGCUGGGACGGUACUGACGCUGAGGCGCGAAAGCGUGGGGAGCAAACAGG
rnacentral:rRNA from 1 species